rfam:Rattus norvegicus chromosome 5, whole genome shotgun sequence.
GGGGAUUUAGCUCAGUGGUAGAGCGCUUGCCUAGCAAGCGCAAGGUGCUGGGUUCGGUCCCCAGCUCCA